rnacentral:rRNA from 1 species
AGUGAACGCUGGCGGUAGGCCUAACACAUGCAAGUCGAACGGCAGCACAGUAAGAGCUUGCUCUUACGGGUGGCGAGUGGCGGACGGGUGAGGAAUACAUCGGAAUCUACUUUUUCGUGGGGGAUAACGUAGGGAAACUUACGCUAAUACCGCAUACGACCUACGGGUGAAAGCAGGGGAUCUUCGGACCUUGCGCGAUUGAAUGAGCCGAUGUCGGAUUAGCUAGUUGGCGGGGUAAAGGCCCACCAAGGCGACGAUCCGUAGCUGGUCUGAGAGGAUGAUCAGCCACACUGGAACUGAGACACGGUCCAGACGCCUACGGGAGGCAGCAGUGGGGAAUAUUGGACAAUGGGCGCAAGCCUGAUCCAGCCAUACCGCGUGGGUGAAGAAGGCCUUCGGGUUGUAAAGCCCUUUUGUUGGGAAAGAACAGCAGCAGGUUAAUACCCCGCUGUUCUGACGGUACCCAAAGAAUAAGCACCGGCUAACUUCGUG